rnacentral:rRNA from 1 species
UACAGAGGGUGCGAGCGUUAAUCGGAAUUACUGGGCGUAAAGCGUGCGCAGGCGGUUUGUUAAGUCUGCUGUGAAAUCCCCGAGCUCAACUUGGGAAUUGCAGUGGAUACUGGCAGGCUGGAGUAUGGUAGAGGAAGGUGGAAUUCCCGGUGUAGCAGUGAAAUGCGUAGAGAUCGGGAGGAACACCAGUGGCGAAGGCGGCCUUCUGGACCAAUACUGACGCUCAUGCACGAAAGCGUGGGGAGCAAACAGG